UGCAGAGCUCAGAGCAUGACUGAGCAGAUCUCCCUUAGGUUCUCUGCAUGGUAUCAUGCCUGUCCCUGCUGGACCUGCCAGUAUAUCUGCAUCUGACCAAGCCUGGAUGCCCAGCCUUGAGCGCAGUCAGGAUGGGAAGAUGUGCCUGGGCUUCCACAGUGCCUCUGUGAAAGAAAAACUGAGACAAAAAAGAAAAACUGAGACGUUUCCUCCAAGACGUUCCUGCUCUCAGAAGGGGAAGGAGAGGAACUUGGACAGACAGUUGAUGUGAAAUUCAUUUUGUGGCCAGCUUUCCAGUAGACUAUGAGCUCCUCAAGCCCAGACCUCUGGUUUGGGCAAUUUAUCUCCAUUUUUUCAGAGGAAGACACUGAGACACAGAGAACUCUCCCAGAAGCCUUCUGCCCAUGGACACCUUACAUCAGAUUGCUUUCUGAGAGAAAAGAGAUGGAAUUCUGCUCUGACAGCACUGAUACUGAGCAACGUGUUUUCCUGGAACUCUGGGACAGAACGGAUGGCCUGAUUUCAAUCUGCCUUUCCAGAAGCCAUUUGCCUUGGCUUAUUCCUGACUCCAAGGGCAGAUGUGACCAUUCUUGGCUCUUUGACUUUUGAGGGGGUAGAGAUAUGGAGUGGUGCCACUUUGCUAUUACAUACUAAAGUCAUUCCCUUAACAACAAAAAAAGUUGGGGAGAGGACUCACAGUUUCCAAUUCAAGUGCUUUCCAAAAAAAUAAAAUAUGGGAAAAAUAUAGUUUAAAAUAUCUG
rnacentral:lncRNA from 1 species